GGAAUCCUCUGUGUGGCGGACCACUGUCAGGGCCUCCGAGAGCUGGCGCUGAAUUACUACAUUCUGAGUGACGAACUCCUCCUGGCGCUCUCAAGCGAGACUCACGUGAACCUGGAACAUCUCCGAAUAGAUGUUGUGAGUGAAAACCCUGGGCAGAUCAAGUUCCACUCCAUUAAGAAACCCAGCUGGGACGCACUGGUUAAACACUCCCCGGG
rnacentral:lncRNA from 1 species